UUCAAUCUUGUAUCUUCAUAGUCCAGGAGUCCGGUCGAAGGUACAAUCUGGCUAUCCGGACACCCCCUAAUCCAGGACUCCCUCAACACUCGUGAGCACCUUUUGGAUCGGGUCAACACGGAGGUUUGAGCAGUUGGGGGCAGCACGGCUACUCGAUGUAGAUUGCAGACUGGCGGCGGCGGCUGGAGCUUGCAGGGGCCAGAUCCAUGCGGGGCAGGGGCUGGGGAGGCUGAUCCGAAGGCGGGCGGCGAGGCAGGGGUCACCGGUGACGAAGAGGAAGGCUAGAGAGGAGGGGCUUCAGUUUUCCCUGGUAGAAAAGAGAAACAGAAGAGGAUUCGGGGAGGAGAGGUAGGGAGAAGAAGAAUGUGGGAAGAAGGAUGGCUAGCCUUCUCGACAUAUGCCAUACGAUCUAAAGCUCAGUCAUGGGGUUGUUGGUGGCUUCACGCUCACCUUACAACCUCCAUGACGCUUGCCACACGAUAUGCAGGACUGCCACAUGAUGCUGGUCCGAGAGUUCUAGGAUCAAACAAGGUACCACUAUCAUGGUUUUCCCUGAGCUUAAUCACUUAAUUAGGGAAAGAUGUCUGGAUGCGAAAACUAUAGCCUGGUAAGAAGUCGAAACAUCAACCUUAAUUUCUCAAGUGUGCCUAUUACAUCGAUAAGUAGCACUGCUGCACUGCAAAUAUGAAGACAAUUUGCAUUGUCAUGUAUACAUAUGUAGUAGAUGGGUACAUAAUUAACUGAGAUACAAGUAGAAGUGCUGCAGUUGCAGCAGAGCUCCAUCAAGUUCCAUCGAAAAUUGCAUGAAGCGUCUAAUGUCGCCGCCAAGUUCGCCGGAGGAAGAAGCACCGAGUUCAUUGGAUGAACAAGAACAUCGGUCGAGCCGUCCAAUGUCGCCUGUAGCGGCUACACCAGAGUGUGUGCGCAUGCUCAAUAGGUAAUGUCACAUCACCUCAAUUUCUUCAGAUGUGGCAUAGGAAGUCAUGUCCUCACGUGCUACUAUUUCUAGAGGUAGCCUCCUAAUCAAAUAAAAGUUUGUUGUCUGAUUCAUCAUACAAUAUUUUUGCUUGGUGGAAUAAAUCUCCAAGAUGACUUAAUUCAAUUUGUUAGCUGAAUGGUACGACCGUAUGAAUAGCAUAUGCGUGUACCAUAUAUAAUCUAGGCUGCCCGGAAGUGCAGUAAAAAAUAGUGAUAUGAUGAGAUGAGCUGGGGUUAGAAGUUCACAGUGUUCAAUACAGAAUCAGGCUUUUUUCUUGAAUUAUUUGAAGUAGAUCAUAUAUAAAACUUCAAAUAAUUUCUGAACCCACCAGAUAUUACAGUGCUAAACUACUACAUCAAAUUGAAAAGCGUCAAUGAUCUACUCGUAGUUGUUAAUUGUUAUCUUAUCUGCUGAUUGUGGCUUUAUUUCCCAUUUGGUAAAACCAGGUUAGCUUUAUUGUAAACUGCACCUAUGCAAUGGUGAGGGAUUUCAAGGUUUUUCUUCAGAAGCAAAGAUAACAAGCUUUCUUGUUUCCAGAAAAGCUUGCAACUUUGUUUAGAAAGUAGAGGGCCCGAGAAAAUAGAUGAGCAGAAUGGUGGUGAUGAGAGGGGCCACAUAGUGGCUGCUUGCCGAGAUAACUAAUUUUGUUUACUUAUUUAUCUUUUCUUGCUUACAAUGUUAUGCUCAGUUUUCCACUAGCUGAGUUGAUGUUUGGUUUUCUCACAUAGAUGAUCUUCUCCUAGGCUGGUUUGUAGGUCAAACAAAUUUGAUGAUCGAUACACCUUUUUUCCAGCAAUAUUAUAUUGUCUUAUCAUUUUUGUGAUGUUAGUUUUGUUGCAUAUUUAUACUUCAAUAAUGUAUGUUUGUUGCAGCAUGCCGAAGCUAGCGAUGUGUCAUCUCCCGCGCGGCAGCCUCCUCGAUCCGCCUUGGGAUCCACAUUAACUAAUCUGAGUCUACCUCCUCUGUCAUGCAGCAUGGCUUUGAGCGGCCAGGUGUCCCAGAUUGACAGCGACAGUGGCAUCGAUAGAGGGUAGCCAGGGGGUUUUGCCGUUGGCUGCUUGCUCUGCUUGCGUCCAGGAAUGAUGCACAUUAUUUUAAAAUACCAUGUGUAUGAGUUUGGUUGGACUUGAUUUUGCAUCCCAUCGUAGAUGAAAACCUACUAGCUUACAAUCCGUGUGCAUGUGUAGCUGAAAUAUUUGCCAUUGAGAAGACAAUAAGCACUUGUUAUGAUGUGCAAAGUCUUUGCGGUGUCCAAUUUGGCUCACUGUGACCCAGCUAAUUUCUAAUUGUACCUUAGAUUACUUUCUAGAUCCCAUCUGGAACUACAUGUUUCUCUGCUAAUGUAA